CGAUACAGGGUGACAGCCCCGUACACAAAAAUGCACAUGCUGUGAGCUCGAUGAGUAGGGCGGGACACGUGGUAUCCUGUCUGAAUAUGGGGGGACCAUCCUCCAAGGCUAAAUACUCCUGACUGACCGAUAGUGAACCAGUACCGUGAGGGAAAGGCGAAAAGAACCCCGGCGAGGGGAGUGAAAAAGAACCUGAAACCGUGUACGUACAAGCAGUGGGAGCACGCUUAGGCGUGUGACUGCGUACCUUUUGUAUAAUGGGUCAGCGACUUAUAUUCUGUAGCAAGGUUAACCGAAUAGGGGAGCCGAAGGGAAACCGAGUCUUAACUGGGCGUUAAGUUGCAGGGUAUAGACCCGAAACCCGGUGAUCUAGCCAUGGGCAGGUUGAAGGUUGGGUAACACUAACUGGAGGACCGAACCGACUAAUGUUGAAAAAUUAGCGGAUGACUUGUGGCUGGGGGUGAAAGGCCAAUCAAACCGGGAGAUAGCUGGUUCUCCCCGAAAGCUAUUUAGGUAGCGCCUCGUGAAUUCAUCUCCGGGGGUAGAGCACUGUUUCGGCAAGGGGGUCAUCCCGACUUACCAACCCGAUGCAAACUGCGAAUACCGGAGAAUGUUAUCACGGGAGACACACGGCGGGUGCUAACGUCCGUCGUGAAGAGGGAAACAACCCAGACCGCCAGCUAAGGUCCCAAAGUCAUGGUUAAGUGGGAAACGAUGUGGGAAGGCCCAGACAGCCAGGAUGUUGGCUUAGAAGCAGCCAUCAUUUAAAGAAAGCGUAAUAGCUCACUGGUCGAGUCGGCCUGCGCGGAAGAUGUAACGGGGCUAAACCAUGCACCGAAGCUGCGGCAGCGACGCUUAUGCGUUGUUGGGUAGGGGAGCGUUCUGUAAGCCUGUGAAGGUGUGCUGUGAGGCAUGCUGGAGGUAUCAGAAGUGCGAAUGCUGACAUAAGUAACGAUAAAGCGGGUGAAAAGCCCGCUCGCCGGAAGACCAAGGGUUCCUGUCCAACGUUAAUCGGGGCAGGGUGAGUCGACCCCUAAGGCGAGGCCGAAAGGCGUAGUCGAUGGGAAACAGGUUAAUAUUCCUGUACUUGGUGUUACUGCGAAGGGGGGACGGAGAAGGCUAUGUUGGCCGGGCGACGGUUGUCCCGGUUUAAGCGUGUAGGCUGGUUUUCCAGGCAAAUCCGGAAAAUCAAGGCUGAGGCGUGAUGACGAGGCACUACGGUGCUGAAGCAACAAAUGCCCUGCUUCCAGGAAAAGCCUCUAAGCAUCAGGUAACAUCAAAUCGUACCCCAAACCGACACAGGUGGUCAGGUAGAGAAUACCAAGGCGCUUGAGAGAACUCGGGUGAAGGAACUAGGCAAAAUGGUGCCGUAACUUCGGGAGAAGGCACGCUGAUAUGUAGGUGAAGUCCCUCGCGGAUGGAGCUGAAAUCAGUCGAAGAUACCAGCUGGCUGCAACUGUUUAUUAAAAACACAGCACUGUGCAAACACGAAAGUGGACGUAUACGGUGUGACGCCUGCCCGGUGCCGGAAGGUUAAUUGAUGGGGUCAGCGCAAGCGAAGCUCUUGAUCGAAGCCCCGGUAAACGGCGGCCGUAACUAUAACGGUCCUAAGGUAGCGAAAUUCCUUGUCGGGUAAGUUCCGACCUGCACGAAUGGCGUAAUGAUGGCCAGGCUGUCUCCACCCGAGACUCAGUGAAAUUGAACUCGCUGUGAAGAUGCAGUGUACCCGCGGCAAGACGGAAAGACCCCGUGAACCUUUACUAUAGCUUGACACUGAACAUUGAGCCUUGAUGUGUAGGAUAGGUGGGAGGCUUUGAAGUGUGGACGCCAGUCUGCAUGGAGCCGGCCUUGAAAUACCACCCUUUAAUGUUUGAUGUUCUAACGUUGACCCGUAAUCCGGGUUGCGGACAGUGUCUGGUGGGUAGUUUGACUGGGGCGGUCUCCUCCUAAAGAGUAACGGAGGAGCACGAAGGUUGGCUAAUCCUGGUCGGACAUCAGGAGGUUAGUGCAAUGGCAUAAGCCAGCUUGACUGCGAGCGUGACGGCGCGAGCAGGUGCGAAAGCAGGUCAUAGUGAUCCGGUGGUUCUGAAUGGAAGGGCCAUCGCUCAACGGAUAAAAGGUACUCCGGGGAUAACAGGCUGAUACCGCCCAAGAGUUCAUAUCGACGGCGGUGUUUGGCACCUCGAUGUCGGCUCAUCACAUCCUGGGGCUGAAGUAGGUCCCAAGGGUAUGGCUGUUCGCCAUUUAAAGUGGUACGCGAGCUGGGUUUAGAACGUCGUGAGACAGUUCGGUCCCUAUCUGCCGUGGGCGCUGGAGAACUGAGGGGGGCUGCUCCUAGUACGAGAGGACCGGAGUGGACGCAUCACUGGUGUUCGGGUUGUCAUGCCAAUGGCACUGCCCGGUAGCUAAAUGCGGAAGAGAUAAGUGCUGAAAGCAUCUAAGCACGAAACUUGCCCCGAGAUGAGUUCUCCCUGACUCCUUGAGAGUCCUGAAGGAACGUUGAAGACGACGACGUUGAUAGGCCGGGUGUGUAAGCGCAGCGAUGCGUUGAGCUAACCGGUACUAAUGAACCGUGAGGCUUAACCUU
rnacentral:rRNA from 1 species